UGAAUCCGCGCGGGAGAGUCCCCGGCCGCCACGGCGGGGCGCCGAAGGAGCAAGUUCUCCCUUGAAUCUCUCAGGCCCCUAUACCGCGCGGGCGAG
rfam:Streptomyces sp. NBRC 110611 DNA, contig: scaffold00001.